rnacentral:rRNA from 1 species
AGAGUUUGAUCAUGGCUCAGAUUGAACGCUGGCGGUAGGCUUAACACAUGCAAGUCGAGCGAGAAAGUAUCUUCGGAUAUGAGUAGAGCGGCGGACGGGUGAGUAACGCGUAGGAAUCUACCUAGUAGAAGGGGAUAGCCCGGGGAAACUCGGAUUAAUACCGUAUACCUCCUAAGGGAGAAAGAGGGCCUCUCUUGAAGCUCUCGCUACUAGAUGAGCCUGCGUAAGAUUAGCUUGUUGGUAAGGUAAUGGCUUACCAAGGCUACGAUCUUUAGCUGGUCUGAGAGGACGAUCAGCCACAUUGGGACUGAGACACGGCCCAGACUCCUACGGGAGGCAGCAGUGGGGAAUAUUGGACAAUGGGCGCAAGCCUGAUCCAGCCAUACCGCGUGUGUGAAGAAGGCCUUCGGGUUGUAAAGCACUUUAAGCAGGGAGAAAAAGCAAUAAGUUAAUACCUUAUUGCCGUGAUGUUACCUGCAGAAUAAGCACCGGCUAAUUCCGUGCCAGCAGCCGCGGUAAUACGGAAGGUGCAAGCGUUAAUCGGAAUUACUGGGCGUAAAGCGCGCGUAGGUGGUUUGUUAAGUUGGAUGUGAAAGCCCUGGGCUCAACCUAGGAACUGCAUCCAAAACUAACUCACUAGAGUACGAUAGAGGGAGGUAGAAUUCAUAGUGUAGCGGUGGAAUGCGUAGAUAUUAUGAAGAA